UACGUAGGGUGCAAGCGUUAAUCGGAAUAACUGGGCGUAAAGGGCGCGCAGGCGGAUUUGCAAGACAGAUGUGAAAGCCCUGGGCUUAACCUGGGAACUGCAUUUGUGACUGCAAGUCUAGAGUAUGGCAGAGGGAGGUGGAAUUCCAUGUGUAGCAGUGAAAUGCAUAGAGAUAUGGAGGAACACCGAUGGCGAAGGCAGCCUCCUGGGCCAAUACUGACGCUCAGGCACGAAAGCGUGGGGAGCAAACAGG
rnacentral:rRNA from 1 species